AUGGCAACACAGCAGAGAUUGCCCACCAGUUCUUGCAAAUGUGGAGGAAGAUUCAGGGCGCAGGCAUCCUUCUUUCCUCCGACGAGGACACGAUCAGCUGGACGGAAACCACAGGAGGAGGAAAUUACUCGGCAAAGGCUGCUUACGAUUUACAAAUCAGUGACAUCCCACCCUCAGGUGAAAAAACCGCGAUUUGGAAAAGCCUGGGCGCCUGGUACGGUGAAGAUUUUCGCUUGGCUGCUACACCAAGACAAGCUUCGGUGCAACGAUCGCCUUCAACGGCGAGGGUGGCCCAAUGGGUAUUUCUACGCUUGCUGCAACGGAAAUUUGGAAAGCUCAAUUCACCUUUUUUGGGACUGCCCCUUCUCCCGAACGGUCUGGCAGGCAGCGUCGCGUAGAUACGGUUGCGCGGUGCUCAAUGAAGCGCGGGAAGAAGGUCACAGCUCUCUCAGGCACUGGGAAAGGCUGACUGCUUCAACACCACAAAGCUGUAGAAAGGGGCUAAGGACAAUGCUGCUGCUGAUCACGUGGGAGCUUUGGAAAGAGAGGAAUGCGUGUGUGUUCAGAAGGAAAACGCCUCAGACGGAGGACGUCCUGCGAGCCAUCGACAACACGGUAGAGCUCUGGCGGCUAGCAGGAGCGCGAUGCAUAGAGGCCCCUUUCGGAGAGGAUGUAGUGAGAUAA
rnacentral:rRNA from 1 species